AAGUCUUUAACUCAAGGGUAGAGUGUUGACUUGAUAAGUCAAAAGCUAUUGGUUCGAAUCCAUUAAGACUUA
rnacentral:tRNA from 1 species